rnacentral:lncRNA from 1 species
CUGACCUACUCAAAGCAUUAACAGAAUCACUACUGAGAAUGGAGAAUCUAUCCCGGACAGUAAAUGCAUGACAACUAAAAUCCUCCUUGCAGUAUAAUGUUCUAAAGAAUUCAAUGACCAUGUGCUUAAGCCGACUCUCAUCCAAGAUCCAAUUACCCAUACUGUCCUGAAGUAUAAAAAUCCUACUCCGCCUAUGCUAGCCAUCGUGCACACAUGAAAAUAUGUUGUGUUCUUAUAACCAAGAGAUAUGAACUCGCAUCUUGACU